GCCACACUCAUGGCAUAUGGAAGUUCCCAGGCCAGGGGUCGAAUUGGAGCUCCAGCUGCCAGCCUCCCCCACAGCCACAGCAACAUGGGAUCCGAAGCACAUCUGAGACCUAAACUACGUAUGGAUCACAGCAAUGCUGGAUCCUCUACCUACUGAGCGAGGCCAGGGCUUGAACCCACAUCCUCAUGGAUACUAGUUGGAUUCAUUUCCGCUGCACCACAGUGGGAACUCCUAUUGCCAGUCUUUGUAAUUCCUCAAGUUGAUCUAUUCCUGGACACAUCACAGAAUUUGUUGCAGAAUAAUUACUCAAUUUUGUUUCAGAAGAAUAAUUUUUGAACCUAUCUUUCCCUCCCAAAAUGUUUAUAUCUCUGCAUUUAAGUCACUUUUAUCUGACUUUAUAAAUCUCUUAUACUUCUGUGCACUUGGUAGAUACAUAUCCAUCUGAUUCUGUUCCUUCCCUUUCCCCUCCUCAUGCUUUUUUCCCCUUUCUGUAUCUUGCCUACUCUCCUUGUACAAUUUGAUGUUUCAGUGGAUACUUGCCAUAAAUCCUCGUCUCCAUUACUAUACAAAUCUCUGACUCCCUUGUUUCAGCAAGCAACAGAAAUUUCCCCAAGCAGAUAAUGCUGAAGAUCUUGAUGCAUAAUUGACUUUUUCUAUAGCUCCACUUCUUUGGUAGGAUGACUUUGUAAUAGGGCUUUAGGACUCUAAGAUCUUUUUAGUUCAGUAUUCUCUCAUUUUAUUUUGACUACAUGGACAAGUCUAGGCAUUAAAUCAUAUUAAUCAGCAUUUAUUUAUUUCUUUGCCAUUUUCAAAGUCUCCUACUCACUAAUUGGGUGUAUGUCUCUGAGAAUAGAGAUCUGGAGAGAUCCACAGAUAGUAUCUCAGAGUAGAUUUUUUUGUUGUUGUUCUUUUGGGGCCACACAUGUGGCAUAUGGAAGUUCCCAGGCUAGGGGUCGAACUGGAGCUGCAGCUGCCGGCCUACACCACAGGCACAAACAUGUAGGAUUCGUGCCAUGUCUGUGACCUAUACCAUAGCUCACAGCAACGCUGGAUCCUUAGCCCACUGAGUGAGGCCAGGGAUCAAACCCGCAUCCCAUGGACACUAGUUGUGUUUAUUACCUCUGAGCCACCACAGGAAUGCCUCUCAGAGUAGGUUUUGCACAAAUCUUGAGGAAUCCUCAGUGACAAACUAAAGGUGAUAAUUUAUCAUGCCUCAAAUUUUCUUGGCAUACAGAAACCAAGAAGAGGGAUGUUGAUGUUUCUGACAGUAAGAGUCCUUUGUAGAUAAAUUGAUAAUCCCCAAGGAAGGAAACUAUGCAUCUUUAUAUUUUUCUGAUUAAGAAGCAGACAGUGUAAAAGGCCCCUCUAAUUCACAUGCAUAUGGAUAAGGAAAAUCAUAUCUUCAAAAUCAUUCUUUGCAAUUUCCCCAUUGUUUUGUACAGCUUUUGGAGGCAUUGCAUUGACCUGUACCCCUUACAGCCGUGCCUUGCUUUUUUGUACUGACCUGUGGUCUUUGGCAAGUCCUGCAUUUUCAUCUGUAUUUUCACAGUUGAUUGAUUUCAUGAUCCAUGUUUUUAGAAUAAUAGCACCACUGACUUUAAAAACAUGCAAUGCUUACACCUUAAACCUCUGAAUGACUGCAGUAGGCUGUUUACCUUGUUCCUAAGAGGGAUGUCAGAGAUGAGAUGUGCCAUGAGAGUCUCCAAGUAGCAUAAUACUGAACGUGUUUUUCUUUUUAUCAGCUUCCCAUGUACUUUCAAUGCUUCUCUUAAUGAAAGUACCCAAGUUUGUGCAGCUUAACUAAGAAGGAAGGGUCUGACCUUCCAUUCUAUGAAUCCAAACCAGAAUCAAAACAUAAUUCCUUAGAGUCAGAGUCCUGCACUUGUAUAAUAAAAAAGAAAAAAGAAAAAAGAAAAAAGCAAAUAAUCCCUCUGUCCUGGCAAUGAUAGAGUUAGAAGAGGGAACUUUAAUAGAUGGAAAAUUCCUUAAUAUUUGUGUUCUAAGAGAGAUUAUUGUGAAAUCCUUACAAGGCAAGACAUGGGCUUCUUUGCAUUUUCUAUGUUAGCCAGAAUGAUACAGGUUUUAUUUGCUCUUUUUAGAGCAGACACAUGGGAAUCAAUUUCCUGAAGAAAGUAAAGAUGCCCUGUGGACCCAAGUUCAGAAGGUGCAAUUGUUACAGCUUUGAGAACAAGUUGUUAACAUGUGGCUGCAGAGAGAGGUUCCUGAGAGACCAUGAUAAGGGUUCCAGGAGAGAAUCCGCUACCACCCUGAGGUUUGUGAAGUUGAGGGCAAUGGAGUGAGAGCCAUGGGGAUUGGCAUGCCUGCCCUAGCCAUUGUUCUUAUUAUUUCCCCUUUAAUAACUCAUUUGGGCCAGUGCUUAUAUCUGAUAUAAAUGAGUUCCUUCACAGUGGAUGGCCAUGACCUUAAUGCCAGGGUAUGUCCAUUAAGAUCUUCAUACCUAAUAUUUCAAAAGCCCUGCCAGUGCACUUAACUUUGCAGGCAAAAAUUUAACCACAUUCAGCUUAUUCCAGGAACAGACAUUAUAUUGAUAACAUUAUCUGCAAAGAAAUUCAAGUAAUAUGCUCACAUGCAUAAACAAACACUAGUCACAGAACUUUCUGAUCAAGGUUGGGCCACACUGCAUUCUGUAAAAUUCAGGCCUUGCUAUUUCCCUAAAAUUUCUAAACUUUACUUAUCAGCAUGGGGAUAAAUCAUACUUGAUGCACUAAGGAACUAAUUCUUACUUUUAUCAGCACUUACUGCUUUAAAGGAGUCUCAGCAUUUACAUGUUUAAUUGGGUUUCAGAGGCAACAUAUUCCUCAUUUACAAAUUUUAUUGAAGCCUGUUAUGCCCUUGCUCACAAACUGACUCAUUUUGUUUUAUUUUUCCUUUUAAAAAUAUAAUUAUUACAAUUGACUACAUUACAUUAAUUCAACAUAAUGAGUUAUAUAUAUGUAUAUAUUUAUAUAUAUAUUUAUGUAUGUGUAUAUAUGACAAAAUGACCACAAGACAAUGAGUCUCACUGACAUCUGUCAUGAUGACAUAGUUACAGAAUUGUCCCCUUCUGAUAAGAACUUUUAAGAUCUACUCUUUUUUAGCAGCUUUCAAACAUGCAAUACCAUAUUAUUAACUAUAGUUCUAAUACUAUCCAUGAUAUCCUCAUAACAUAUAUUUUAUAAUUGGAAGUUUGAACAUUUUGAAUCAUUUCACCCAUUUUUUUUCCACCCCCAGCCCCCACACUUGGCAUCCAUCAGGCUGUUGUCUUAUCUCUGAAUUGGGUUUUUUCUUUUUUAGAUUCUUCAUAUAAGUAAAGUCAAACAGUAUUUGUCUUUCUCUGUCUAAUUUGUUUCAGUUAACAUUUAAGGUUAUGUUUCUGCAAAUAACAAGGUUUCCCUCUUUUUUUAUGGCUGAAUAGUUUUAUAUGUCAUAUUUUCUUUAUCCAUUCAUAUGUCAAUGGACAUUUAGGUUAUUUCCAUAUUUUAGCUAUUGUAAAUAGGGCUGCAAUGAAUCUGGAGACACACAUCUCUUUGAGUUAAUGUCUUCAUUUUCUUCAGAUGACUACCCAGAAGUAGAAUUGCUGGAUCAUAUGAGAGCUUUAUUUUUUAAUUUUUUGAGGAAAUUCUCUGCUGUUUUUCAUAGUGGUUUUAUGUAUAUUGGCUCACUCUGGGCCACCCAACAACAGAGGCUCCAAAUUGCAAUAACAACAGGUACUUUGUUUAGAGCUCUCCCCUCUUCUGCUCCUCAACAGAGACCCUUUCAUUACAGGGGCUUCAACAGCCUUCUCUCAGUCCUUCCAGUCCGUGGAUCAGCCGUGGUUUAUGGACUUGAGGUGCAAAAAACUAUCUUCCUUGGCUGCACCUUACACACUAUUAGGAUGGCGUCUGCUGGCUGUAUAGUGAGCCCUUCUGGGAAGAAAUGCUUUCACAAAUCCUGAGCCUGUGACUCUUUGUAGUCAGCUGGCCACUGUGCCUUGGGUCCUUGAGGCAGCACCCCACAAACUUGGCAUGGCCACAGAGGUCUCAUGAUUAAAAUGAAAAUGCCACAUAUAGAGCCAAACCUGGGCCCUCUAGCACAUCCUACCUACAGGAGGAAAUGGUUUCCAUGUCCUCGGUCCUUUGCUAGAUGCAAUGGUACCUGAAGAGGCCACCCUCUCUCAUAUCCACUGACCCCCUGAGGAGCCGUUGGGAUCAACUGAGUGAUCGGGAAAUGGAUUUUGUAUACUUUAUAGCUUCAGCACCACCAUCACAAACAGUAGAGCCCCCGGAGAAGCUGCUACAUUCUAUUCCCUAACCAAAGAUGGAAGCCAGGGGUCAGCACAGUCAUCUUAAUGCUAGAGGAUGUUCUGGCCAACAGUUGGCCCCUGUCCCAUGCCUAUAGGCUCUUGGGCCAUUGCCAGCAGUAACGGUCUGGUCUGGCCAAUGGUGGCAACCACAAUUCCAAGCCGAUUGCCCUUCUCUGUUGGGGAAAGGAAUGCCAGGAAUUUCUUGCCUCAUGGAUACCCCAAAUACAAGUUAAGUCCACAUGUGUUCUCCACAUCCUAAAAUUCAAUUUUCAGAGACUCAUUACAAUGCACAGUUGGUAAAUUGGCUUGGAUUUCUGAGACACAUACGGUUACAACCUCAGAUCUAAUGUCACUAACCUUGUCCUGGGUAGUCUGUGGACACAGGAAAUACCAGGCCAUAGUGUGGCUUCUGCCCUGAAGGCCUGAGAAGAAUGAAAGGGAUGUUCCCUCUCCUGUGCCAUCGAUAAUGUAGUGCCUAACCUAUGCACCUUAUGUGGGAAGAUGUACCACGGCCCUUAUAGUGGAGGAGGAUUGGUUCCCUGGGAGACUGUUCCUUAGCCAAUGGCAAAUAGAUUUUAUGUGUCUUCUGAAUAGAAUGUUAUUCUCUAAUAAAAAUUACACUAGGUUCCUCUUCUUUCCUAUUGCCCAAUUAAAUACUCUACAUUUAUUCGUUCAAAUA
rnacentral:lncRNA from 1 species